rnacentral:rRNA from 1 species
CUAAGUUUGAUGGCGACCGGCGCACGGGUGAGUAACACGUAUCCAACCUGCCGAUGACUCGGGGACAGCCUUUCGAAAGAAAGAUUAAUACCCGAUGGCAUAGUUCUUCCGCAUGGUAGAACUAUUAAAGAAUUUCGGUCAUCGAUGGGGAUGCGUUCCAUUAGGUUGUUGGCGGGGUAACGGCCCACCAAGCCUUCGAUGGAUAGGGGUUCUGAGAGGAAGGUCCCCCACAUUGGAACUGAGACACGGUCCAAACUCCUACGGGAGGCCAGCAUG